CAUUUACAAUACCUUGGGUUGUCUACUAUUGCAAAUGGUAUGCCAUUAUGGGUGUAAAUUUCAUUCCUGGCUACUAUAAAGUCCCAAAGGCAACCAAUCUGGUAACCAGGUAACCAAUCUGGCGAAUUUCAAUUUCAAAUGUAACGUGCUAUAUUUGACCCUGUAACUUCCCAAAACGCCAUAAAACCUGUACAUAGGGGGUACUGUUUUACACGUGAGACUUUGCUGAAUAUUGAAUACAAAUAUGUGUAUUUUAUUGCAGUAAAAGCAAACAGUAUUAUAACAUUGACAGUUAAAAUGUCAUGUAGAACGAAAAAAAAUUAAAA